AACGAACGCUGGCGGCAGGCUUAACACAUGCAAGUCGAACGCGUGUAGCAAUACACGAGUGGCGCACGGGUGAGUAACACGUGGAUAUCUGCCUUUUGGUUCGGAAUAACCCUGGGAAACUAGGGCUAAUACCGAAUGGUUCCUACGGGAUAAAGAUUUAUCGCCAAAAGAUGAGUCCGCGUCCGAUUAGCUAGUUGGCGGGGUAAUGGCCCACCAAGGCGACGAUCGGUAGCUGGUCUGAGAGGACGAUCAGCCACACUGGGACUGAGACACGGCCCAGACUCCUACGGGAGGCAGCAGUGGGGAAUAUUGGACAAUGGGGGCAACCCUGAUCCAGCCAUGCCGCGUGAGUGAUGAAGGCCUUCGGGUUGUAAAGCUCUUUUGGCGGGGACGAUGAUGACGGUACCCGCAGAAUAAGCCCCGGCUAACUUCGUGCCAGCCGCCGCGGUAAGAC
rnacentral:rRNA from 1 species